rnacentral:lncRNA from 10 species
UCUCAUCAUGGCCACUUAGCUUGCUCGAGAUUACACAGAACCAUGCCUCUGGUUUCCUGGUACAGUGCUCCGGCAGGUGACGGAUGCUCCUGGGUGACAUAUCACGGAUCUCUCUGAGGUAAGACGUGCCUUUUGCCUUCCACCUUCUGCCGUGAUUGUGAGGACCCGCCAGCCACGUGGAACUAUUCUCCAAAUUGUGUAAGCUUCGGGGUCCCUGAAAUUUGGAUCAGCCUCUGGAUAGUCCCCAUAAUUUUAGCUCAAUAAAUGUUUGAUUAAUUACAA